rnacentral:misc_RNA from 1 species
UUUUUAUGGUUAAGUUGAAAUCAAUAUUGCGUUCAUUAUAAUUUUGGACAUUUGGAGCUAUAGAAAGGAUUCAACCUAAAAUGUGACACUUCUUUCCUUUAAGAUUCUGCAUGCAGAUUCUCGAACAAGUUCAGCAUGGGGAAACUAAACGAAAGCAAAGUCAUGAAGAACAAGGUUGAUUUGGACAACCAUGAUGAUGUUUGUUGGUGGUUGAUUCAUAAAGGAGUUAAAACUACUUUUUUGUCCAUAUCUUUGUUUGCUUUGCUGGUUCGAGUUGCAGUCUCCCUUCAUCCUUACUCGGGUGCCGGCAACCCUCCGA